UCCCUCCCUAGGCCUCCGUGUAGAAUCGGCCACUGAAUGAAAUGUAAGUUGGUGCUACUGAAGUGGAGAUUUCUGGCUCGGUUAAUGGGAAAUAACGUGUAAAGUUAUGCAUCGUCGCCCGUGUGUUAUCUGUGAGCGCGGGUCUGUCUUACACCCGGCUCAUGUUGACAUUCCAGAGGACUGGACCUUGUGUAAACAGCCUUUGACAGAUGGAGGCUACGAGAACCAGUAGAUUGAGAUGGCAGUCUGUGCUCUUGGGCCUCCUCACGUAUUUCAACGGCUCUGAGCUGAAGAACUUUAUGUGGCAGAUGCUCAUCGCAGUCUCUCAUUCGGUGGAUCAUACAGGAUGGUGGAGAGUAGUAAUGAGAGUUCGGUGCUCCAUCGUUCAUUUCUCUCGGGAACACAGAAUCCUGGAAUGCCAAGCAAUGGAAUGAUGGCAAGAAUGUAAUAGAAUUCCAACACAAAUGGAAAAGAAUCAUCAAAAUAAACAAAAAAAGCAAGAGGUGGGUCAUUAAAAGCAGUCACUUUUCUUCAGUCCUCAUCCUCUUUUUAAGAGCUUGGUCACAUGUUUCUGUGUGCGCAAGUGUGCGUUUCCACAAAAAAAGGCACCAGCGCUUCACACACUUCAGUUUCUUUCCGGAAAAGCAGCACUGCUGACGUCUCAGCCUCCUUUGGCA